rnacentral:rRNA from 1 species
CGAAGCUAACGCGUGAAGUUGACCGCCUGGGGAGUACGGCCGCANGAUUAAAACUCAAAGGAAUUGACGGGGGCCCGCACAAGCGGUGGAUGAUGUGGAUUAAUUCGAUGCCAACGCGAAANACCUUACCUACGCUUGACAUGUCCNAAAGNCCACAGAGAUGAGGGCGUGNCCGAAAGGGAAUCGGAACANAGGUGCCUGCAUGGUUGNCGNCAGCUCGUNUCGCGAGAUGUUGGNUUAUGUCCCNCAACGNGC